rnacentral:misc_RNA from 1 species
GAUGAAGAACGCAGCGAAAUGCGAUAAGUAAUGUGAAUUACAGAAUUCAGUGAAUCAUCGAAUCUUUGAACGCACAUUGCGCCCGCUGGUAUUCCGGCGGGCAUGCCUGUUCGAGCGUCAUUUCAACCCUCAAGCUCUCCGGAGUUUGGUGUUGGGGCGCCUGGGGCUUUUCGACCUCAGGGCCCUCAAGUCCAUCGGCGGGACCGCCAGGACACUGAGCGCAGUAGUAUUAUUUCGCUCGGUAGGAUCUUCCACGGCGGGUCGAUCUGGCCGCUAAACCCCCCAAUUCUCACCAAAGGUUGACCUCGGAUCAGGUAGGAAUACCCGCUGAACUUAAGCAUAUCAAUAAGCGGAGGA